AAUGAACGCUGGCGGCAUGCCUAACACAUGCAAGUCGAACGAAGGCUUCGGCCUUAGUGGCGCACGGGUGCGUAACGCGUGGGAAUCUGCCCCUUGGUUCGGAAUAACAGUUAGAAAUGACUGCUAAUACCGGAUGAUGACGUAAGUCCAAAGAUUUAUCGCCGAGGGAUGAGCCCGCGUAGGAUUAGCUAGUUGGUGUGGUAAGAGCGCACCAAGGCGACGAUCCUUAGCUGGUCUGAGAGGAUGAUCAGCCACACUGGGACUGAGACACGGACCAGACACCUACGGGGGGAAGCAGUGGGGAAUCUUGGACAGUGGGCGAAAGCCUGAUCCAGCAAUGCCGCGUGAGUGAUGAAGGCCUUAGGGUUGUAAAACUCUUUUACCCGGGAGGAGAAUGACGGUACCGGAAGAAUAAGCUCCGGCUAACUCCGUGCCAGCCGCCGCCGUAA
rnacentral:rRNA from 1 species